rnacentral:lncRNA from 1 species
UGAAACACUCCACUCGCUUAUUGAUUGAGCCGCCGUCAAAUUCAAUCACGAGUGAAAAUGGAUUUUUUAAUGCGACUAUUAGCUGCUUUUGAAAGGCAAAUUGAGUUCAGUUAUACCGAGGCAGCCAUCAAAAAACAAUUUGCCGUCAGCCAGACGGGCCGGAGAGGAGCCCGGCCGGGAGCCGCGGCUGCGCGCCCGCGGAUCGGGAGAUCCGAGACGGGACUCGCGGGGAAUUACGGCUUUUCCUCCUCAAAAACGCGCCGGAUGAGGAAGGAGCAGCCCAGGAAUUUCUACAGCAGCAUAAUCCAAAGAUCUGCUUUCAAAGAGCCUCUGCUUCCCGCAAAGCUCCAGCCUCAGCUAAUGAGAGCUUAACCACAUGUUUGUGGUGGAUGAAAUAGUAUCAUUUUGCAAUUAUUAUCAUUCAAACAUUAUUUAUUUAACCCGCAGCCACAUUAUAUUGACUGCAGAAUUGCUGUCAUUUUUACUUUUGAUGGCUCUCUUAUUGAGCUGAGUGUGAGGAAUUAUGUUCCCAGUGUUGGGGAGGCUUUCCCUGCUCCCUCAGCCUCUCUCCAGCCAGGUCCCAGUCUCUGCCCUAGAGCUGGUGGUGUUUGGUACCAGAAUGCCCCAAAAUGGGCAUUUUCCCAACUUUUCCUCUGCUUCACUGGUCAUAUUUGGGGAAUUAAUCUCCUCUGACCACCAACACAAAGCCUUGUGCACCAAAGUACCAGGUAAGGACAAAAGGUGGAUUUGGUGUCACCCCCCAGCAGCUCUGAAAUCUCUUUUGUAAGAGCUGGAGAGGGGAGGCAGCAGCUGGGGAGCUCUGUGCACCCCUGAAAUUCCAAACAUGGGAUAACAGAGAGCCUUGGGCUCAAAACCCUUCUCCAAGGGAGCAGCAGGAUGAGCCUCAGCCAACAUCCCCGGGGUUUGCAGCAAAAUAAACAUCAAGGGGCGCUCAACUCAAGAUCUGAAUGUCAGCAGGGUGAAAAAAAGUCCGGCCUCCCUCUCCCUCCUGGCCCUGGUUCUUCCCUCACACGUCACUCUCCCAAAGCCUUGCAAGAUGUAUUCACACAACAGGAAAUCCAACAUUCCCCUUCGCCUUCUUCUUUCUUCCUCUCCUUUAAUUUUCCCCAAAUGUAAAUGAGGAAGUCAUCUCUCCUCCGGUGAUGAAACAUCUGCCUGGAGAAGCUUGCAGUGCAAUGCAACAUAUUUUGAUCACUGCUCCAUCUAAUUACAGAGAAGAGAAGAGAAAAAUCACAAAGCAGGGUUUGGGACUUUUUUUUUUUUUCCCCAAAACACAAGGCAUCUGAAAAAUAAUAGAAAAACAGCAACACUGACAAUCAGAGCAGAGGCAGCUUCCCCAUCAGCCUUGAAAAACAGCACUGGAAUACAGAACCUGCUUGGAAGGAGAGGGAUUUCAGGGCGAGAUAGGGAAAGAU